CCCAAAAAUUGACAUUGGGCUAUGCUUUCUUGGUUGGAGCUGGUGGUUUUAUGGGUUAUCUUAAGAGUGGCAGCACAAAAUCUCUGAUUGCAGGUGGAGUUUCUGCCUCCCUCCUGUACGCUGUUUAUACUAUGCUUCCAACACAACCUGUUUUGGCAUCAGCAAUUGGUUUCGUCCUCUCAGCUGGACUUCUUGGAGUAAUGGGAUCUCGUUUUCUGAAAUCAAAGAAGGUUUUUCCAGCUGGUGUUGUCUCCUGUGUGUCUUUUAUUAUGACUGGUGGUUAUUUGCAUGGAAUAUUGCGCAGUGCGCAUUAGAUUCCCUAAAAUGAGCAAAGUAUUUGUCAACAGACUCAACACAGAUAAUCAUUAGUAUCUACUCUUUUCUGUGGAUUUUAGUUUUGAUAUCUGUUUGAAUUUGGAUUUUGUCAAGUUUUCUAAGUUGUUGAGCUGCUAGAACUCUCUAGUAAAACACUAAUAUUGCAUCAAGGGCACCUUUGUUUACCUUCUUUCUCCGUAGUGAAUUCAUUCUGUUUUUGGUGAAGUUUUCCUCUAUUAUUGCUGUUUAUAUGUGAUUUACCACAUUAGUAGUAGUAUCUAGUAAUAUCGUAGCUUCUCUAUUGUCUCCAUCACAAAACUCCUUUCUUUCUGUUCAACGAUGUGGACAUGAUAUUAUUGUUUUUUUUUAAAAAAUCCAUCCUAAUUAUUUUCUUGUCAAGGAUUAGGAUUCCAAGAACCGUUUCUUUCAUGUUAAGAGUAACAAUGGUGUCUACACCAAGAACUCUUCCUCAAUCACUUGUUCAACUUAUUCGAUUACAAAACCUCCCUCAUCCUAUUGGCAUCUUUGAUUUGGUCAUCCACAUCAAAGAGUUCUUAGUCAAAUGACAUCCACUCAUAAUUUUAUGUAGUGAUUGUCAACAUGACAAGUCACCGUGUUUAUAUUAAUCUAGCAACUCAGCAUCAAGAACCUUACUAAUUAGUUGGUCAUUAUAAUUUGUGUGUUCUUAAUUACCAGGUAUACAAUUUGAUCAAAAAAAUGCUUCAAGUAUGAAGACUUGAUUGAACUAGGCAACUAGAAUUUACCUAGGAGGUGCAUUUUCCUCUAUGAAACAGUUGUAUCUAGAUGUGCAACACCAAUCAAUGCUUAAAAUGAAUGAAGUUAAUUACUUUUUCAUAUGCCCCAAUAAGAAAUCACAAGUAGUGUUCAAUAUGAUACACCAAUGGACAAGAUCUGACAUUUUAAUUGGCGAAUGAACAUGGCUCUCAAUUGUAGAGAGAAUCAAAGCAUCAUUUUCACUUUAUUGAUGCUGUGAUUCCUUCAACAUCUAGAAAAAGCAUAUCAUUUUAGGAACAAAAGCAACAGACAUAAACAAAGAAAUGAGGAAAGGAAAUUGUAAAGUCGAAACAAGGGGUUUCAUUGAUUGAUGAUUGAGGAAAAAAAACUUAACAGUAGUUCCAACUAAUUCCAUUUAAUAAUCAUCAGCUUCUAACAACAAAAUUACAUACACAGAAGAUCCAAAAAAAAAAAAAACCCAUUAGGAAUCUAAGCCUUCUUGGGAGAUUUGGUAGCUUUGGAUGGAGAUUUAGGGGCCUUUUCACCUCCAGUCUUCUUUGGCAACAAAAUUGGGUUGAUGUUAGGAAGAACACCACCAUGUGCAAUUGUUACACCAGCAAGAAGUUUCCCAAGUUCUUCAUCAUUCCUCACAGCCAAAAGCAAGUGCCUUGGGAUGAUUCUGUUCUUCUUGUUAUCACGAGCAGCAUUUCCAGCCAACUCCAACACCUGUAAAUCAAACAAAAUCAAAACUUGUGAGAUACCCAACAUGAAUUUCAACACAAAAAUAAGAACAACCAAUCAAAAAAUUGAAACCCUAGAUCCUAAUUGAACCAAAUUAGCAAAGCUGGAGGGAAGGAAGGGAAAUUUACUUCAGCAGCCAAAUAUUCAAGAACGGCGGCCAAGUAAACGGGAGCACCAGAACCAACACGUUGAGCGUAUCGGCCUUUUUUCAAAAACCUUCCGAUUCUUCCAACGGGGAACUGAAGACCGGCCUUUACAGACCGGGAAACAGGCUUCUUCUUUGGGCCUCCUCCCCUCCUGCCGGCGGCACCCUUCUUCACUUUUCCGGUAGACUCCAUUUCAAGAAUAGCUUCUUUAUUUUCUUUGAAAGAGAUAAUUGAUUGUCGGAGAGAUGAUAAUUGGUAAGAAUCUGCGGAUGGUUUUUAUAGAGAUCUUUGAUUGUCAUUUUGGUUUUUCGGAUGCUUGUUUACAGCCGUUGGAUUGAUCUUUAAUCCGACGGUGUACAUUCAAUAUGUCUCGAUCUGCGUCAUUUCAAAUGGACCAAUAAGAAGCGGAGUCUGUGAAUUUGAAUGUUGUUUAAGGUUAAAACCCUUUCUCCCGCCAGAAAUAUUUUGCCCUUUGGCGAAAAAUUUCGAAUCUAUAGAAUCUCAGGGGUCGUUUGGUAGAAUAUAUAAGAAUAAUACUAAAUAAAGUGUAUUAGUAAUAUUUGUAUUGACAAUGCAUGUUUUAGUUAUGCUUGCAUUAAUAAUACAUAGAUUAUUUUUAUGCAUUAUUUGAUUUGAUGCAUUAAAAAUAACAUGCAUUACAUAAAAAAAUUAAUUUACUAAGAUCCCCUCCACUAUUAUGAUAGAAAAGAUGUAAAAAAGGAUUUGAGAGGUAAAUGGAUCUUUAAUUGAGUCAAUGCAUGUAUUAGUAAUGCAUACAUUAAUAUACAAUAGAGUAUACAACUAAUGUAAAUAUGCAAGCAUUAAUUACACAUAGGUUAGAAAAGAGUAUCAAACAAGGUAUUAGUAAUACACAAGGCUAAUGCAUGCGUUAUUUUUCCUAAUACAUUUUACCAAACGACCCCUUAAAGUUUAAUUCUUUUAAAUUGCAUUAAUAAUAUGAAAUUGUUCGUCAUCAAAAGAAGGAGCCGAGAAAAUUUGGUUGUUUCGAUGCAGGUUUAGGACAAUAACACUUGUAUUUUGAGAUUUCGUUUAAUUCAACUAGCGCUAACCGUUUACGCACAACAACAGCUAAACCGUAUAGAUAUUAAGGAGAGUCGUUAAUGUUAGUUGUCGUCUAUCCAUAAAGACCUUCAUUACCCCUACAAUGAUGAUCAUCUGAUUUUCACUUCAAUACUAAAAACUACUUCCUCCGUCCACUUUUUAUCGUCAUAGUUUUCUUUUUUAGAGUCAAAUAAUAAGAACUUUGACAAACAUUUUACGAUGUUUUUUUUUUAUCAUAUUGGUGUGCAAAAAUUUGCAAUUUAUAAUACUUUUCUUAUAGUUUUUGAAUAUCUAAUUUUUUUUGUUUAAAAUAUUAAAUUAAUGUAAUCAAAUUUAACUUUGAAAAUUAUUUAAAUUGACUUUUGAAAAAGUAAAUACUACUUAUUUGGAGUACACACAACCCUUCGCGCCAACAUUUAUUGAUUGAUUCUGGAAAUGGAAUAAGAAUUUUUCAUUUUUGUUAUUUCAUCUCUCAUUUAUUGUUUGUUGGUUAAUUUAUUAUUUUACUGCUUCAUUGACGCUAUCAAGAAAUUAAUAGUCUAGAUUUAGUACGACAUACUUAAAAAUUCAACUGAUUUUUAUUAUAAAUAGGUAUUAAGCUAAAUAGUGACCACAUGAUAGCUUGCUACUACUCGAUUCUGUAGGACUCCCACCCCUCCCUCGAGGACUGAACUAACACAGUCCAUAUUGCUUCUGCUUGAGCUUGUUGUUGUUUCAUUGUUUACUAGGGUUGUUUAGUUGGGAACAAAUUAUCUCAGGAUUGGUUAUUUUGGGAUUAGCUAUAUGAUAUAAAUGGUGAGAUAAGUUGUUUCACACAUGGCAAUCAAACAAGACACAAAAUUUUUAUUCCAUCACUAUUUAUUUUUAUCCCUCACACCAAACGAGCCCUAAGUAUUACAGUAGUCCGAGCUUGCUCAGGUAUAUAUGCUGGUGACCUCAUUUCCAAUUUCUGCUUUUUCUUCAGUUGUACUGAAGAUCUAUAUAUACUCAUUGUUGCUAAUUCAUCUAACCCUCUUGAGUCAACUGAUUCCGCAGUUUUCCUCCCUAUUUCCCUUCAUGUUUUGUGCUUCCCUUGUCAUUAUCGCCUUCUGAGUGGGUAUAUUACCUAUGGUGGGCGCAGGUUAUGCUAACGUGCACCGAGAGAGAAAGCAUCCCAAAAUAAUUCUUGCUACUCCCAAACAUUUAUUAUCCCAUCAUUUAGUAACCAUAUUGGAGUGAGAUACAUCACUCCGCUUGAAAUAGAACACUUAAUUAUCUCCAUAACGGGUGGGUGUUUGAUUUUCAAAUUUCGGGUUCGGUAAUGAUAAAAGUAGAUACCAAAUAUCAAAUUUUUAAAUGUUGGCUCGGUAAUUAAAUUUCGAUUUGAUACCCAUAUUGAAGUUGUAGCCAACAAAGUUAAUAUUAUUUCUCAAUCAAACACUAACAAAUGGUCCUGCAAAUGCUUACAGUUGCUGAAAAGGGACCAAUGAUGAGGGAGUUUGGGCGCCAUUCAUAGGCUUAUAACAAAAAAAAACUUGCAAAGAAUAUAAGAACAACUAACUUUCACUGGAUCUAGGUUCUUGGAAGUUACAUAUAUAUAUAUAUAUAUAUUGCGUUAGCUGUAGGAACUGCAUCUGCUUAUUAUUGUUGCUUGUCUUUGGUUACUCCUAUUUUAAUUGUUUUGUUGAAUUAAUUGGCUCAUCAACUCUUUAGUGGAAAUGAAGACUUGCAAGUCUCUUGUUGUCCCGAGUUUUCCUUCUCGUGGUCUCUACCUUUCCUCACUUUGAUCUACUAUUUAUUGCCACAUCUAUCACUACAGUGAUUUUUUUUGAGUUAUAAUGGGCAUUACGUACGGAAGUACCUAAACAUUGUAUUACUAUAAUUUGCAAUAAACACGACAAGUGCCAAGCAUACAGAGAACUAGAGAUGAGAGAAAGCACAGCUGAGAGCAGUAGAAAUGUUAUACUAUCAAUAAUGUGAAUAUGUUAUGUGGCAUUAUCUUUUGCAGAAAGCUUCUUUAUAAUUAAAGUGCAUCUAAUUUCAUUUCCUCCUGCUGAAAUAUCUUACAUCGACUGUCCUGUCCGAGUCUUGUUGAUUCCCAUUUACUUUGUCUAUUUCUCUUCUGUCAUUGAAAUCAUGAUCUACCGACUGCAGAUUGUUCAUGGAAGUUGCUGAGACUACAGAAGCUGCUGAAAACAAAACAUCCAGAAAAUAAGUUUCCCUUAAUUCAGUGUACACAUUACUAUUUCAUAUUCCAGAUAAUGGGUGAAUUUUUGGCCAUUUCUCAGUCCUCCAUAGUGUUACCUAACUUUAGAGUCCAAGCUUGGAGUCAAAGGCAGCUUUUCAUUGCUCAGAGUCAGCCAUUGAGAUGAUCACUUCAUUCGUCUCUUCAUACCUUGACUCCCCCUCGCACAGUGUAUCCAGGCUUGUCUGCUGGAUCGAAGCAUUUCUCUUUGGGGGUCAGAGCCAGUGUUGUCUCUGCUGACUCUACAAUGCCAACUACCUUUACUGUUGAUCCAGCUGGGCCAGGAAUCACUAUUCUGCCAGAGGCAGAUGGUGAUGGUGGAGGUGAUUCUGGGGGUACAAAUGGCGGUAGGGGAGAUAAUGGUGGAAAUAAUAAUGAGGGGGGUUCAGAUGAAGGUGAGAAUCAUAACAGUAAAAAGAAAAUGGCCCUCUCUAUGUCCCAAAAAUUGACAUUGGGCUAUGCUUUCUUGGUUGGAGCUGGUGGUUUUAUGGGUUAUCUUAAGAGUGGCAGCACAAAAUCUCUGAUUGCAGGUGGAGUUUCUGCCUCCCUCCUGUACGCUGUUUAUACUAUGCUUCCAACACAACCUGUUUUGGCAUCAGCAAUUGGUUUCGUCCUCUCAGCUGGACUUCUUGGAGUAAUGGGAUCUCGUUUUCUGAAAUCAAAGAAGGUUUUUCCAGCUGGUGUUGUCUCCUUUGUGUCUUUUGUUAUGACUGGUGGUUAUUUGCAUGGAAUAUUGCGCAUUAGAUCCCCUAAAAUGAGCUAAGUAUUUGUCAACACAGAUAACCAUUAGUAUCUACUCUCUUCUGUGGAUUUUAGUUUUGAUAUCUGUUUGAAUUUGGAUUUUGUCAAGUUUUCUAAGCAGUUGGGCUGCUACAACUCUCUAGUAAAACACUAAUAUUGUAUCAAGGGCACCUUCGUUUACCCUCUUUCUCCGUAGUGAAUCCAUUCUGUUUUUGGAGAAGUUUUCCUCUA
rnacentral:lncRNA from 1 species